GUCGCGGGAUGAUGUUUGGCUUGCGGCGAGCGAAACGGGGAAUAUGCCCGGCCGAGUCGGGAGAGGGCACAGACAUGCAUUGGAACUUCUGGCAGCUGGAAGACUACUUGAGCAGCAUGGCCAACUUCCUGUAAGCCCAGGGCCUGGCCUCAGGAGAUGUGGCUGCCCUCUUCAUGGAGAACACUGUCUGUGAGAUCCCUGCUGGCCUGGGUCCCUCACUGAGCCUCUUCUGCUCCGGCUCCUGGGAGCCCAGGGCAGUGCCUUCUGGCACAGAGCACCUGGACCUCUACUGGAAGAUGCCCCCAGCACCUGCCCAGUUCCCCUGAGAAGGGCAUCACAGGUGGGCGACUGUGGCUUCAACAGCUGCAUCCUGACCUUCGUGUACCCCAUCCGGCUGGUGCAUGUCAAUGAGGACACCUUGGAGCUGAUCUGGAGGCCUGGUGGUGUCUGCGUUCCCUGCCAACCAGUCCAUUCAUUUGUUUUCGUGUUGACUCGAGAAGACUCUCCAGGCUGCCUGGGUUUGAUCCCGGCUCAGCCACUUGGCUCUGGGACACGGACAAGUUAUUCAGCCUUUCUCCCUGAGUUUCCUCAUCGGCAAAUGGGGAUGAAAGCAGCACCCGCUCCAUCAGGCUGACCUGAGGAUUAGCUGUGACAGUGUAAAGCUCCUCCAGGCACAGACGAGGGGCUCGGUGAGCACUAGCUUUGCUCAGACUGUCCACGUGGAACUUGGCCACCCAUUGUUUAUUUGUUCAUCUUCCCAUGCAUUCAGUGACAGACAUUACUGAGGGUCUACCAGUGUCAGAGAUGCCCAGAUAAGCUCCCUGCCCUGAGGGUGCUCCUGGGCUACGGGGAGAAAUGGGGCAUUUCCUGGGAAGCAGUGUGAAUGGAAGUUAGAUCAGGACACAGGGUGUGUUCAGGGGUGGAAGGAACAGGUGGAAGAGACAACCUGGGGGUGUUUCCAAAUCCGACUCUGCCUUCCCUGCCCCCAGGUG